AUGGCCCUGGCUACAUGGAGGCAGGACUGGAAUGAGAAAGGGAGAUGGUGAUGUAUUGAUGGGAGUGGUACUCCCACUCCCGAGGCAGAAUAAGGUGGGGGGGCGGGGGCAGCAAGUGGUGGGUUAGGUUAGCAGAAACCAACUGCAUGAGAAAGAAUUAGUCAAGAACAAUGGGCCUUCCCUUUGCGGUGGCUGCAGGGCAACAAAGCACUGGUGAUGAAGCCCUCUCUGGAGCAGCCAGCAUACUGGACCAUGAGUGAGGAUUCCCUUAGUCCAGAGGGAACACCUUUCCACAUCCAGUGGCUUACAGAAAGAACAAUUGCUUGAACAGAGCUAGGACCUCCAGGACAAAGGUGUGAGAUGUGAGAGCAGCAAACUUAUUCCACUCCUGAUUCUCAAGGGCAGGCUUCUAAAAUUCACUACUAAAUAGACCAUCAACUUUACAAAGCCCUGCUUAAGGCAAUGCCUUCCCAAGUGUGCUAUGAUUUUACAUGGUACAUUCUUCACUGGGCUGGAACACCUGCUGCUUGCCUGGAUGUGAGAAAUGACCUGCAAACAAAUUUCAAGUUCAUUCAUUCAGAGCAGAGGAAUUGAAGGGAAAUGCAGGAUUCACAGAAAGGACAUUUUCACUGAGGUCGGCAAGCUUGUUGACCUCCCUCCAUAGGUGGGAGAGCUGUCAUUGCAUUGUGGAAGAAAUUUUGGAUCCUGAAUCCUUUGAGCAUGGUUCUUGAUAUACUAAAGAAGGAGAUACAAUUAUUUAGAAAAAAAUCCUCAUUUUCUUAAAGCCUGAUUUUCACAACUAUUGCAUUUCUAAAAGUCAGCAUUGAGAUUUAAACCUUAUCAAAGGCCAAUAUAUCCUAGGGUGUUCUCAUACUUUCUUUCCUUGGGUUGAUAAACAUCAAGACUUGACGCUGAAGGCUGAGGGCUACAAAGUACACGAUUUAAGAAUGAAAAUUAAAAGCAUUGAUUUAAUGUUUGGAAACAAAUUUAUAAUUUUGACCUAAAGAAAGGACUUUAAGUUUUCCCACCAAAGCUAUUUCGGUCCCAUCUCAUAACUAUAAAAAUAAAUAAAUGCAAAUCCUGCAGAAUAUUUUGAGAAAACAAAGCAAAUUUCCAUGAAGAAAUGCAGAAAAUUGAGAAAGUCACCUGGAUUAUUGUGCUAAAAAAUCAAUUAUUGACCAAUUUAUCUGAGCGGCAGAGGAUAAAACUAAGAGAUUAUUAUUUGCACUUAGAAAACAAAUAGCAGCUUAAUUAAAAUGCCCCCAAGGUCAUUCUAAUAUAUAGGAAGUAAAGUGACCAAUGCUAAUAAAACACAUUUGAGAGCUUUCCACAUUAUCCAGACAAUUGCUUCAAGCCACCGUCUCUCUAGAGGCAAAAUUACACAGAGACUAUAUUUCACUCUGUCUGUUCAGGCCCGUCAGAAAUUCCUGUCUCCUCUGAUCUUAAAAAUAAAAACUCCCCAUCCUGUAAGAAGAGUUUUUAUUAGUGUUUCACAACAUGCUCAGGACAGUGUCCUCUCCUCUCGGAGCAAAUUGAAGAACCUUCUAAUAAGGUGAUGAUAUUGUGCAAGGGGCCUGGAAGACCCUCUUGUACUCUCUGAGGACCUAUAGGGGAGGCAGCAGGCACAGAAGCCCGGCUGCUUGUUUUCUGGAUGUCUGUGUACAACAUAAUCUGACCACUUGGAGUAUCUUCUCUGAAGCACAAAUAGCUCCUUGGUCCCUGAAGGCAUUUAAACAUGAAUUUGAUGCUACUAAGCCAGCAACUACCUAUCAAAGGCAACCACAGAGAAGAAAUCAGAAGCCAAGGCUUCUAAGAUAUACCUACAGAAACCAAAACUUCUGUGAAAACAGAACCCCUUGGGCCUCCCUGACUUUCCUAGGCAGAUGAAUUAGGACGUCCUUGCCAUCAGCCCACAGAAAUUGUUGAUAAGGUGGUCUGAUAUCUUUUUCUUCUUAGCUGCUAUACUUAAGUCUACCAUGCAGCAUCUUACUGAUUACAUGUCAUCUUGUUUUGUUUGUUAUUGUGUCAUAUAUGUGAGUGUUAAUGUUUUGUAGAAAGACUGCUUUUGGUUAUAGGUAACACCAACAACUGAAACUGACAAAUAAUAAAAAAGAUUUAUCGGUUUAGAGAAUGGACAAUUCCAGUUAAAGCAUGGGUUUCAGGAGAGCUCUAAUCCAGGGAUCUAUAAAGUCAUCAGGGCACUUUCAGGUUGCUGGGACUGUCAGUGGUGUAUUUACAAUUGUCAUCAUUAUUUCUAGUUUACAGAUUAGGAAAACUAAGAACGCAAAGACUGUAAGUGAAUUAUACAAGGUUAAACGACAAAUAAAUGACGGAUCCAAGAUUCAAGCCUACUCCUUGAGACUCCAAACCAAUGUUGCUAUUGGAGCAAAGGCUUCUUACAGAGUUUUGUGAGGCAUUGUAUUAUGAUCACUAAGUAACCUAGGAAAAAAUCUGCUUAAUUUACCUCUUCAUUCAAUAAACAUUGAUUAGGAACUUACUAUGGGCCAGGCACUAUAUUAGUCAUCUUUUGCUACAUAAUAAGUAACCCCAAAAUGCAUGACCUUAAAGCAAUAAUAAUCACUUAUUAUCUCUCAUGGUUUCUGUGGGUCAAGAAUUCAGACAGGACACUAUGGGAAAGGGAAAGGCUUGUCUCUGCUACAUGAUAUUUGAGUCCUCUGCUGGAAGACUCAAAGGCUAGGUGUUAAAAGAUCCCCUUUCAGAACGGUUUGGUCACUUAGCUAACAAGUUGGUGCACGCAGUUUGGUUCCUGUCCAUGUACUCCACGGGGCUGCUUCAAUGUCCUCAUGACAUGGCAGCUGGCUUCCCCCUGAAUGAAGAACCCGUGAGAGAAAGUUGGAAGCUGCAAUGCCUUUUCUUACCUGACUUAGGAAGUCAUACACCACCACUUCCACCAUAUUCUUUUGGCCACACUGAGCUGCCCUGAUUUGAUGUGAGAUGAAGAUAAAAGAAAGGCAUGGGGGACUUCCCUGGUGGCCUACUGGUUAGGAUUCGGGCUUUCACUUCAGGGGCCCAGGUUAUAUCCCUGGUCAGGGAAGAUCCCACAAGCCACACAGUGUGGCCAAAAAAAGGAAAAGAGAAAGAAAAAGAAAGGCAUGAAUACCAGGAAAUGAGAGUCAUUGGGGGUUCGUUCAUCUUAGCCACUGCUGGGGCUCUUCUUAAGCACUGUAAACACAUGAAGAAAAUCCCUACCUUUAUGGAGCUUGUGUACUAGUGAAGGGAUCAUAGGGGAAUCAGACAAUUAAAAAAACAGUAAAAAAACAUAGUUUGUCAGGUGGUAAUACAUGCCAUAGAGAAUAAUAAACUAGGGAAAGUCUAGGAUCCCAGCCAGCUCAUAAGUCACCCAUGUAUAGAUCAGAAAAAUGUAUGCUCCUUUGGGCCAAUAAGUGAAAAAAAGCACCCUCCACUUCCAGGCUAGCCCUGGGAAGGUGUUAUGGCCUUGGAAAGCACGGCAAUUUCAAAUAUAUAAUCAGAGAAGUCCUCACUUUCCCUGAGCAAAAACCUGAAAGAAGUGUGAGAGCAAGGCAUGCUGAUAUCUAGGGGAAGAGCUUUCUAGGUCACGGAAGCAGGAGAUGCUAGUGCCCUGAGAUAAGGAAAAGGAGGUGACCCUAAAAGGCCAUCCUGAUUCAGAUACCUCUACCUCUUUUCAGGUAUUUUUGAAGCUCAAUAAAG